CCUACGGGGGGCAGCAGUGAGGAAUAUUGGUCAAUGGACGAGAGUCUGAACCAGCCAAGUAGCGUGAAGGAUGACUGCCCUAUGGGUUGUAAACUUCUUUUAUAUGGGAAUAAAACGUUCCACGUGUGGGAUUUUGUAUGUACCAUAUGAAUAAGGAUCGGCUAACUCCGUGCCAGCAGCCGCGGUAAUACGGAGGAUCCGAGCGUUAUCCGGAUUUAUUGGGUUUAAAGGGAGCGUAGGUGGAUUGUUAAGUCAGUUGUGAAAGUUUGCGGCUCAACCGUAAAAUUGCAGUUGAAACUGGCAGUCUUGAGUACAGUAGAGGUGGGCGGAAUUCGUGGUGUAGCGGUGAAAUGCUUAGAUAUCACGAAGAACUCCGAUUGGGAAGGCAGUUCACUGGACUGCAACUGACACUGAGGCUCGAAAGUGUGGGUAUCAAACAGGAUUAGAUACCCGAGUAGUC
rnacentral:rRNA from 1 species